rnacentral:rRNA from 1 species
UACGGAGGAUGCAAGCGUUAUCCGGAAUGAUUGGGCGUAAAGCGUCCGCAGGUGGCUGUGUAAGUCUGCUGUUAAAUAGUGAGGCUCAACCUCAUAAAGGCAGUGGAAACUACACGGCUAGAGUGCGUUCGGGGCAGAGGGAAUUCCUGGUGUAGCGGUGAAAUGCGUAGAGAUCAGGAAGAACACCGGUGGCGAAAGCGCUCUGCUAGGCCGCAACUGACACUGAGGGACGAAAGCUGGGGGAGCGAAUGGG